UGACCUGCGGAGGGAUCAUUACUGAGUUUACGCUCUACAACCCUUUGUGAACAUACCUAUAACUGUUGCUUCGGCGGGUAGGGUCUCCGUGACCCUCCCGGCCUCCCGCCCCCGGGCGGGUCGGCGCCCGCCGGAGGAUAACCAAACUCUGAUUUAACGACGUUUCUUCUGAGUGGUACAAGCAAAUAAUCAAAACUUUUAACAACGGAUCUCUUGGUUCUGGCAUCGAUGAAGAACGCAGCGAAAUGCGAUAAGUAAUGUGAAUUGCAGAAUUCAGUGAAUCAUCGAAUCUUUGAACGCACAUUGCGCCCGCCAGCAUUCUGGCGGGCAUGCCUGUUCGAGCGUCAUUUCAACCCUCAAGCUCUGCUUGGUGUUGGGGCCCUACAGCUGAUGUAGGCCCUCAAAGGUAGUGGCGGACCCUCCCGGAGCCUCCUUUGCGUAGUAACUUUACGUCUCGCACUGGGAUCCGGAGGGACUCUUGCCGUAAAACCCCCAAUUUUCCAAAGGUUGACCUCGGAUCAGGGUAGGAAUACCCGCUGAACUUAAGCAUAUCAAUAA
rnacentral:rRNA from 1 species